CCUACGGGUGGCAGCAGUCGAGAAUCAUUCACAAUGGGGGAAACCCUGAUGGUGCGACGCCGCGUGGGGGAAUGAAGGUCUUCGGAUUGUAAACCCCUUUCAUGUGGGAGCAAAUUAAAAAGAUAGUACCACAAGAGGAAGAGAAGUCUAACCCUGUGCCAGCAGCCGCGGUAAUACUGAGGUCGCAAGCGUUGUUCGGAAUCACUGGGCGGAAAGCGUGCGGAGGCUGUUUCGUAAGUUGUGUGUGAAAGGCGCGGGCUCAACCCGCGGACGGCACAUGAUACUGCGAGACUAGAGUAAUGGAGGGGGAACCGGAAUUCUCGGUGUAGCAGUGAAAUGCGUAGAUAUCGAGAGGAACACUCGUGGCGAAGGCGGGUUCCUGGACAUUAACUGACGCUGAGGCACGAAGGCCAGGGGAGCGAAAGGGAUUAGAUACCCUUGUAGUC
rnacentral:rRNA from 1 species